AUUUGGGGCGCGCGGAGCUGGGGGGUCCCUGUGGGGCGCCCAGAGUUAAGAUGGCGUCCUCAGCGGAGGGGGACGAGGGGACUGUGGUGGCGCUGGCGGGGGUUCUGCAGUCGGGUUUCCAGGAGCUGAGCCUUAACAAGUUGGCGACGUCCCUGGGCGCGUCAGAACAGGCGCUGCGGCUGAUCAUCUCCAUCUUCCUGGGCCUACCUUCUGGCUGGAUAUUAUUACACAGCCACCGGCAACUACGAUAUCAAGUGGACAAUGCCACAUUGUGUUCUGACUUUGAAGCUGAUUGGUGAGUGAUGGUCACUGCCUGCCUUCCUUACAUGUAGGUCCCUCCCCCAUCUCACUAAAAACUUCCUCGGCACCCCCCCCGCCAUACACUUCUGGCUGCACUCAGUCUACAGGCCACAUCCUCAGUGUCCUCUCCCACCACCCUACCCACCCGUUCUCUCUCUGCUCAGGUUUGGCUGUUGACUACUUUGACGGAGGGAAAGAUCAGGUAAGUACCCAUUCAUCCGCAGAGAGGUUCAAGACUUAAUGAAAGGGAAGAAA
rnacentral:sRNA from 1 species